UAAUUAUUAAUAUAAUUUGAAUUUGAAAUGUGGUAGGAAGGGAGGAGCAGCACUGCCUCAGAUACCCAAACCCUACAUUAGAGUCAAGGAUGAGAAGAUGACAGUGUUGAUGGUGAAGAAGUACCUGCUCACAAAGCUGGGUCUCUCCAAUCAAGCUGAGGUUGAAUUAUGGUGCAUGGGAGAGAGACUGUUGCAUACUCAAUCACUAAAGCAAGUGAGAGAUGGAAUUUGGCUGCCUAAGUUGGUGGAGUUUGUUAAUUCAAACUCAUCAUUAUCAAAUUCUUCAAUAUUAUUUCAUCCACAAAAUCAAAAAACUCCUUUUUCUUCUUCUAAUACUUAUCUCAUGUCUUUGCAUUAUGGAAGAGCAAGAUUCUUCUAACUAAAUAUAUAUGUAUGUAUGAAUCUAUACACAA